rnacentral:lncRNA from 1 species
UCCACCUUGAAUGCCUUGAAAAAUCGUUGUGAAUCAUCGGGAUUUCUUGGGGUUUUUUCCAUGGGUUGCCACUAGGGAAGAGAUCGCUGGAGAUCUCCUAUGGCUCCACCGAACCACUGUAACUUCUUCCCCUUUCCUCCUUUUCUUUCUUUCUCCCAGUCAUCCUCUCGCAUCAAUGCUCGGAUUGGAGCCGGCGGAUGCCGGAUUUACCUUUAAACAAGGCAGCCCCCAUUUUGUUCUUGGUUUCACCUAUCACCGCCAACAACAGCUGCCAUUGGAGGCCGUCAUCAAGGCUGUGGCUUCGCCACAGUUGAGAGCCACCAUGGAUGGCUGGCCUCGGCCUUCCAUGGCCAUGCAUGGGAGAGGGACAACAGGGAGCAAACCUCCUAUUUGAAGAGAAGAGAAGAGAGGGCUCUUAUCUCUCUUCUUUGGUUUGUUUUAAUAAAAUAAUUCUCUUUAUUAGUUCGCCAAUUAAUUAUUUUCCUUUAGAUGGAUUAUGGAAAAUUCUAGAAGGAAGAUUUUGAGAC